AGAAAAGUAGGUCACAGAAGAGCUUCUAACUUUGUCUGGGGGCAGUUCGAUUCUGUCUUUUUCUU
rnacentral:tRNA from 2 species